ensembl:lncRNA
GUGUGUGUACUGUAUGUGUGAGAGCCCCAGUGUGUGUACUGUAUGUGUGAGAACCCCAGUGUGUGUACUGUAGGUGUGAGAGCCCCAGUGUGUGUACUGUAUGUGUGAGAGCCCCAGUGUGUGUACUGUAUGUGUGAGAGCCCCAGUGUGUGUACUGUAGGUGUGAGAGCCCCAGUGUGUGUACUGUAGGUGUGCUUUUGGAUCCCCUUUUUCCAUUACUUGAACUCUACUUGGGCAAUAACAUGUUUUCUCUGCAUUGUUGCCUUUUCCUCUCCUCUCUUUCUUCUCCUGCUUUCUGAGGUACUGUGCUUUAAUCGUACAAAACCUUACAAGACAGAAGCUUUAGCUAGAGUCGUGUCUUCCUUAUGCAGCUGGGCCUUUAUAUUCAGAUUCUGCUUUCACUAGAAUGUCUUUGUUUAUCACUUUCCACAUUUCUUCCCAUUUUGUCUCAUCUCUCCUGAAAGGGCCUUAGUACUCCUUAAGCUGCUCAUCCAAGUUUCAGUUUGUUUAUGUAUUAAUGUAUUUGUAUGUAAGUAUGUAUGG